AGAGUUUGAUCAUGGCUCAGGAUGAACGCUAGCUACAGGUUUUAACACAUGCAAGUCGAGGGGCAGCAUGUAUCUGGCUUGCCAGAUAUGAUGGCGACCGGCGCACGGGUGCGUAACGCGUGUUCGACCUACCCUUUACUCGGGAACAGCCCAUCGAAAGAUGGAUUAAUGCCCGAUGUUCUCCCUAUAUCGCAUGGUAUUUGGAGCAAAGAUUUAUCGGUAGAGGAUGGGAACGCGUCCGAUUAGCUGGACGGCGGGGUAACGGCCCACCGUGGCGACGAUCGGUAGGGGUUCUGAGAGGAAGGUCCCCCACACUGGAACUGAGACACGGUCCAGACUCCUACGGGAGGCAGCAGUGAGGAAUAUUGGUCAAUGGCCGAGAGGCUGAACCAGCCAAGUAGCGUGAAGGAUGACUGCCCUAUGGGUUGUAAACUUCUUUUGUACGGGAAUAACCUGGCCCACGUGUGGGCUACUGCAUGUACCGUACGAAUAAGCAUCGGCUAAUUCCGUGCCAGCAGCCGCGGUAAUACGGAAGAUGCGAGCGUUAUCCGGAUUUAUUGGGUUUAAAGGGAGCGUAGGCGGAUUGUUAAGUCAGCGGUCAAAUGUCGGUGCCCAACAUCGUCCUUCCGUUGAAACUGGCAGUCUUGAAUGCACACAGGGAAGGUGGAAUUCGUCGUGUAGCGGUGAAAUGCUUAGAUAUGACGAGGAACUCCGAUCGCGAAGGCAUCCUUUCUGGAGUGCGAUUGACGCUGAGGCUCGAAAGCGCGGGUAUCAAACAGGAUUAGAUACCCUGGUAGUCCGCGCCGUAAACGAUGGAUGCUCGUCAUUGGGACGUUAGUUUCAGUGACCAAGCGAAAGCAUUAAGCAUCCCACCUGGGGAGUACGCCGGCAACGGUGAAACUCAAAGGAAUUGACGGGGGCCCGCACAAGCGGAGGAACAUGUGGUUUAAUUCGAUGAUACGCGAGGAACCUUACCCGGGCUUGAAUUGUGCAGGACGGAAGAGAGAGACCUCUUCCUUCUUCGGACCUGCAUGAAGGUGCUGCAUGGUUGUCGUCAGCUCGUGCCGUGAGGUGUCGGCUCAAGUGCCAUAACGAGCGCAACCCCUGCCGUCAGUUGCCAUCGGGUGAUGCCGGGCACUCUGGCGGGACUGCCGCCGCAAGGCGUGAGGAGGGUGGGGAUGACGUCAAAUCAGCACGGCCCUUACGUCCGGGGCUACACACGUGUUACAAUGGGGAGUACAGCGCGUUGCUGCCGUGCGAGCGGUGGCGGACCGAUAAAUCUCCUCUCAGUUCGGACUGGAGUCUGCAACCCGACUCCACGAAGCUGGAUUCGCUAGUAAUCGCGCAUCAGCCAUGGCGCGGUGAAUACGUUCCCGGGCCUUGUACACACCGCCCGUCAAGCCAUGAAAGCCGGGGGCGCCUGAAGUCCGUUGCCGCAAGGGUCGGCCUAGGGCGAAACCGGUGAUUGGGGCUUUAUCGUAACAAGGUAACCGUA
rnacentral:rRNA from 1 species